rnacentral:misc_RNA from 1 species
UCGCGGCUUAUCACCGGCAGUCCCCUUAGAGUGCCCAACUGAAUGGUGGCAACAUGGGACGGGGGUUGCGCUCGUUGCGGGACUUAACCCAACAUCUCACGACACGAGCUGACGACAGCCAUGCAGCACCUGUGUACGCGUCCCGAAGGAGGCCCGGCGUUUCUGCCGGCUUUCACGUACAUGUCAAGCCCAGGUAAGGUUCUUCGCGUUGCAUCGAAUUAAACCACAUGCUCCACCGCUUGUGCGGGUCCCCGUCAAUUCCUUUGAGUUUUAACCUUGCGGCCGUACUCCCCAGGCGGUCAACUUCACGCGUUAGCUUCGUUACUAAUGGGUUUAACCCCACCAACAACCAGUUGACAUCGUUUAGGGCGUGGACUAC